rnacentral:misc_RNA from 1 species
GAUGAAGAACGCAGCGAAAUGCGAUAAGUAAUGUGAAUUGCAGAAUUCAGUGAAUCAUCGAAUCUUUGAACGCACAUUGCGCCCGCCAGUAUUCUGGCGGGCAUGCCUGUCUGAGCGUCAUUUCAACCCUCAUGCCCCUAGGGCGUGGUGUUGGGGAUCGGCCAAAGCCCGCGAGGGACGGCUGGCCCCUAAAUCUAGUGGCGGACCCGUCGUGGCCUCCUCUGCGAAGUAGUGAUAUUCCGCAUCGGAGAGCGAUGAGCCCCUGCCGUUAAACCCCCAACUUUCCAAGGUUGACCUCAGAUCAGGUAGGAAUACCCGCUGAACUUAAGCAUAUCAAUAAGCGGAGGA